UCCGUAGGUGGCAAGCGCUACUCGGAAUCACUAGGCGUAAAGCGCAGGUAGGCGGUUUGGUAAGUCUCUUGUGAAAGCUCCCGGCUCAACUGGGAGAGGCCAAGGGAAACUACCGGACUAGAGUGUGGUAGGGGAUACUGGAAUUCCUGGUGUAGCGGUGAAAUGCGUAGAUAUCAGGAGGAAUACCUAUGGCGAAAGCAGGUAUCUGGGCCAUCACUGACGCUGAGCUGCGAAAGCUAGGGGAGCAAACAGG
rnacentral:rRNA from 1 species